AUGCCUAGUCGGAGGUUGAGCGUGUUGUGCUGCAGCAGCUGGGAGUGGGAGUGGGACAAUUUGGCACGACGAAACUGGCUAGGUUGCAAAAAAUGUGUUUUCUGCCACCAUGAUGAGUCGAUUAAGCACUUAUUUUUUGAAUGCAAGUUUGCUCGAUCGGUAUGGGCCAUUGUCCAAAUAGCUUCGAAUCUAUACCCUCUACGUAGUGCACGUAAUAUAUUCGGCAACUGGUUGAGGGAAAUAGAUAAAUAA
rnacentral:rRNA from 1 species